rnacentral:rRNA from 1 species
AUUGAACGCUGGCGGCAUGCCUUACACAUGCAAGUCGAACGGCAGCACGGGAGCAAUCCUGGUGGCGAGUGGCGAACGGGUGAGUAAAGUAUCGGAACGUGCCCAGUCGUGGGGGAUAACGUAGCGAAAGCUACGCUAAUACCGCAUACGAUCUAUGGAUGAAAGCGGGGGAUCGCAAGACCUCGCGCGAUUGGAGCGGCCGAUAUCAGAUUAGGUAGUUGGUGGGGUAAAGGCCCACCAAGCCGACGAUCUGUAGCUGGUCUGAGAGGACGACCAGCCACACUGGGACUGCGACGCGGCCCAGACUCCUACGGGAGGGAGCAGUGGGGAAUUUUGGACAAUGGGCGCAAGCCUGAUCCAGCAAUGCCGCGUGCAGGAUGAAGGCCUUCGGGUUGUAAACUGCUUUUGUACGGAGCGAAAAGGCUCUCUCUAAUACAGGGGGCUCAUGACGGUACCGUAAGAAUAAGCACCGGCUAACUACGUGCCAGCCGCCGCCGUAACAC